rnacentral:rRNA from 1 species
AGCUCCAAUAGCGUAUAUUAAAGUUGUUGCGGUAAAAAGCUCGUAGUUGGAUUUCUGUCGAGAACAGCCGGUCACGAUUUUGUCGUUGUAUCUGGUUUGGUCUUGGCAUCCUCUUGGGGAACAUUUCUGCGCUUCACUGCGUGGAGUGGUAUUCAAGACUUUUACUUUGAGGAAAUUAGAGUGUUCACGGCAGGCAAUCGCCCUGAAUAUAUUAGCAUGGAAUAAUGAUAUAGGACCUUGGUUCUAUUUUGUUGGUUUCUAGAACUAAGGUAAUGAUUAAUAGGGACAAUUGGGGGCAUUCGUAUUAACGCGUCAGAGGUGGAAUUCUUAGAUUGCGUUACGACGAACUACUGCGAAAGCAUUUGCCAAGGAUGUUUUCA